rnacentral:lncRNA from 1 species
UUGGCUUAGAGUUUUUUUUAUUUUUUAAUUAUAAAAUAAUAUUUUUCUCUUAUAACAAAUCAGCACUAGCAUCGACAACGAGAAACCAUCAGCCGAACAAGGAGAGUAAGCUUAAGCUUAGAGGUUACUAUUCAACAUUCACGAUCCAGUGUUAGCUAUUUUGUACUGUGUGUGUUUAACGGUGCGUAUGUGAAAGGUAGCGAGUCGAGUCGAGUCUAUUCGCUGGUCUGAAAAAUCAUGGCUGAA